UCCCUGGUGGCUCAGAUGGUAAAGCAUCUGCCUACAAUGCAGGAGACCUGGGUUCAAUACCUGGGUUGGGAA
rnacentral:tRNA from 1 species